GAUGAUCUCUGAACCCAAAUCACAUGCACCCCGCAAAUCAAGACCCUCUGAUUUAGUCACCUAAAUUUCUUCUCACUCAUUCCAACUCUUUUCCCAUAUGAUCCUAUUUUAAUAAAAUUCCUUCAAUUAUUUGUUUCUCAUAUCCCAAAGCAUAUCACCUAGUUGCACGAAUCCCAAAGCCUCAUCCCAUCUCAUCCAUUCAUCUUGCUUCCCAUAUCAUCCAUCCAUCAAAUCUCCGAUUUCCAGCUAAAUGGACCUGUUCCCAGCAACCACUUGUGAUCUCCCGCACCUCACAAAUCCAACCAAACUCCCAGCUCACGAAUCAUUUCUUCCCUUCAUCCAUAUCAAAAAGGGCUGGGACAGGCUCUGGGAUAUCUUUGGAAGAAUCCCUCGGCUGGGAACAAGGGAGUUGGGAGUUUGAACAAGAUGUGAGGAUGGUUGCUGGGACGUUGGGAUAAGGUUGAUUGCUGGAAGGAGAUGAGUCUGGUCGCAGAUGAUUCGGGAGGAUGAGGAUGGAUACGGAGACGUGGGAGUUGGAUUCGGCUGGGAGUGAUUUCGGAAUAGAGGAAGAUGCAUGACAUGGCCGAUGCGGAAUGAAGCUUACGGCUGGCAGCUGGGAGUUGAAGCUUAGAUGGAAUCCAUGGGAGGUUGGGAUGUCGCCGUUUCACGGGAUGAGGAUGAAGCACUGGAAUGCAGGGGCUUCGGAAGACAUGGGAGGCUAAAUUCCUGGGAUUCCUUUUUGAUAUGGAUGAAGGGAAGAAGCUCUCUAUCUCACCGGGGUGCUAGCUCCCUUGCAGAGAUAUCUUUUGAUGGCUGAUCUCCUCUCUUUCUUUCAACUCUUGAAUGUACUUGAGAGGAGGAAGAAGAAGGAUGAAGAAGAGGAAGAAGAUCAAAGCCCUUGACAGCCUUCUUCUCUUUUCAUGCGUUGGAGCCAAGGAAGAAACCCAAGAGGAGGGAGACGCCAAGAGUUUUCUUCCCUUGCUGAUGAAGAAAAAAUUUCCCGAGUUGUCCGAUAAAAUCGAACGCCAGGCAUGAAAAAUCAGUUUUAAUUUUUUUAUUUUAUUUAUAACAAUUAUAAAUAUUAAAUUUAACUUUUAUGUAAAAUUACUUUAAGCCCGUAGCGGAAGUUGGUCGAGGUAAUUUGAAUCUGGAUCUGGAUCUAGAUCCCUGAAGGUAGCUCUGCGAGGCUUGGAUCUACAAGCCCUCUACUUUGCACGCACG
rnacentral:lncRNA from 1 species